rfam:Triticum aestivum genome assembly, contig: Triticum_aestivum_CS42_TGACv1_scaffold_031206_1BL
GUAGUACUCCCUCCGUCCCAAAAUUCUUGUCUUACAUUUGUUUAGAUACAGAUGUAUCUAACACUAAAAUGUAACUAGAUACAUCCGUAUUUAGACAAAUUUAAGACAAGAAUUUUGGGACGGAGGGAGUACAAA